UUGAUGUUGGGUGUCUUUAAUUGCUCUCUACCUUAUGUUUUAAGACAGAAUCUGUCUGGGCCUGGAGCUUCUUAUCUGAUAAGCCAGCUGGUUAGAAAGUUCUAGAAUCCACCCAUCUCUGCCCCUUAAAUGCCUGACGCUAGCCAUGUGCCACACUCAGCUUGUACAUGGUUGCCAGGACUCAAACUCAAGGUCUCAUGUUUUCACAGCAAUCACAUUACCCACUGAGCCUUCUCCUCAGCCUGCUAGCCCAUCUUGCUCCCAAGAACUAACCACCAUGAAUCCCUGCUGUGUGGUCGUGGUAACAGGGCAUAGUGAGACAGAUUGUCUGGUCUCACACAAGCAGGGACUGCAAAGAGGAUCUGCGGUCACAUUGAAGGCAGGAAGGAGGUGCCAAAACUGAAUCUGAGUUUCAGUCAUCAGGCACACUGGUUGGAGGCUUCACGUGGACCUGUUUGAAUAUGUGUGCAAUAUGCCAUAUAUGACAGCAUGCCAGCUGAAAGUGUGGUUCAAGACUUGCUGCUAAGACUCAUUCGGAAAUGGGGCAUUACAAGCACCUCAUAUCCUGACCCCACUUGGUGAUUCUUCAUGAAACAUUUCUCUACCCAGAGAUGCCCCUGCAAUUUGAAAAUCUUUUAAACUCCUACUCCUGGAAAUACAUGAAUGGGCAGCUGAGGGUCAGCCAGCUAGAUGCUGUAUCUGGGUGGCUCCCAGUGAUAUCUCAGGGAACCAAAAACAGAUUCAGAGGCCAAGGUCAGGAUGGGAUCCCUACACACAAUAUUUAGCUUUGUUUUGUUAACUGAAACAGAGUCUCAUUCUGUUGCCCAGAUUGACCUUUAACACAAAACAAUUGUCCUGCCUUAGUCUCCCAGGGCUGGGAUUACAGCUGUGUAACUGGCAGGCCUGGCUCGCAGACAUAAGUGUCUGCAUUCCCAACAACUGUCCUAAAGGCUCCUUACCUUGGAUCAGGGUGGUAUUGGGAGACAGGCAAAAAUGUCCGUGGAGGACAUUUGUUUCCUAGGGAGGAUAGCUCUGGGACUUUGCCAACUGAAGUACCUGGUGGUACCCACUGUUAAUGAUGUCACCAGCAUCACAAUAGCACCUCUUUGGUUAGCUCUCUUCAUGGCCAGAUGACAUGG